rnacentral:rRNA from 1 species
AUUGAACGCUGGCGGCAGGCCUAACACAUGCAAGUCGAGCGGAGCGGCGGACGGGUGCGUGAUGGCUAGGAAUCUGCCUGGUAUUGGGGGUUCACGUCCGGAAACGGGCGCUAGUACCGCAAAAUAUCAGAUGAGCAUAGGUUGGAUUGGAUUGUGGGUGGGGUAAAGGCACACCAAGGCUACGAUUCGUAACUGGUCUGAGAGGAUGAUCAGUCACACUGGAAUUGAACCACGGUACAGACCACAAUGGUACGCAGCAGAGGGGUAUAGUGGACAAGUGGAGAAAGCCUGAUCUAGCCAUGCCGAGUAUGUGAAGAAGGGAUUCGGAUUGUAAAGCUAUUUAAGUUGGGAGGCGGUACCAACAGAAUAAGCACCGGCUAACUCCGUGCCAGCAGCCGCGGUAAUUC